rnacentral:sRNA from 1 species
GUGAUGUUCACAGAAAAUUUGAAAUAUUUAUUAGCUAGAUCUAGUUGUAUUCUUUCCAACAUUGUUGUAUGAUCUUUCUUGUAAUGUUUUCUUGCAUUUCUACCUCAGUUUUUUAAUUAUAGUAAAUAGAAGUUACGAUAUUAAAACUAUAUGACAUAUUCCUAUUUCUGCUUUCUGCUCUAGUUAUAGGAUCAUUGGUGGAAACUCUCAGUUCACGAUCAACCCAUCGACAGGACAGAUCAUCACCAGCGCAUUGUUAGAUAGGGAAACAAAAGAUAAUUAUACUUUGGUAGUGGUCUGCAGUGAUGCGGGAUCCCCAGAGCCUCUUUCCAGUUCUACCAGUGUGCUUGUCACUGUGACUGAUGUCAAUGACAAUCCACCAAGAUUUCAGCAUCACCCAUAUGUCACUCACAUCCCAUCUCCCACUCUUCCAGGUUCCUUUGUCUUUGCGGUUACAGUCACAGAUGCUGAUAUUGGACCAAAUUCUGAACUGCAUUAUUCUCUUUCGGGUAGAAAUUCUGAAAAAUUUCACAUUGACCCACUGAGGGGAGC